UACGUAGGCAGCGAGCGUUGUUCGGAGUUACUGGGCGUAAAGGGUGUGUAGGCGGUUCUUUAAGUUUGGUGUGAAAUCUCCCGGCUCAACCGGGAGGGUGCGCCGAAUACUGAGGGACUUCGAGUGCGGGAGAGGAGAGUGGAAUUCCCAGUGUAGAGGUGAAAUUCGUAGAUAUUGGGAAGAACACCGGUGGCGAAGGCGGCUCUCUGGACCGUAACUGACGCUGAGGCGCGAAAGCGUGGGGAGCAAACAGG
rnacentral:rRNA from 1 species